AGUUUACCUGUUGCUGCCCUC
rnacentral:miRNA from 1 species